GAUGUUCAAAGGUUAUUGUUUCUACCUGAAAAAAAAACAGCGAAAAUAUUGGUGAUUAACAAUAUUUUCUGACUUUGACCGUAUUUUUUGCCCACCCUGUGAAAUC